GCUACUGACCUCGAAAAGUAACGUGUACUGUCCUCCGUCCACAUAUAGCUUUAGCGUUACUCAUCCUGCCGCCGGCGAUGCAGCCCUUACUCCUUGGUUACCAUGACAACCAGCGCCGAGAAGCCUUUACGAGUGGUGCAGAGGGGAGUCCUAAAACCCGGAAGAGCCAGAGGCAUCAUGUUGACAGAACUACUAAUCCUGAGAAUAUGUCAAAACUGGCUGUCAACAAAGAGGUGGCCUCACCCGGAGGAGACCUCUCUCUCUUUCUCUUUCUGACAGCGUGCUCACAUCCAGAGGAAGAGAAGAAAUGAAGCUCACUUCUUCUCUGGCAAAGAGGCAUCACAGCCAGGUGGUGAGGCUCCCUGAAAAAUGCUGACAAUAUGGCAGAGAGUCAACAGAUAGAGCACAUGCUGCAUCUCUGCAUGACUGAAUUACCCACAAAGAGGUCCUCAGCUACGACACAGUGCAGCACAUUCACCUGGACCUGCCUCAUCAGUGUACAUCAUGAAAACAGAGUGUAGUGACUCAACAGUGUGUCAGUGACCAGUGCCACAAACAGCGAAUUCAUACACAAGACUCUAUCAGGAGAUCAUGGGAGAGCC